AGCGAACGCUGGCGGCAUGCCUAACACAUGCAAGUCGCACGGGGGGGCUUCGGCCUCCCAGUGGCGGACGGGUGAGGAACGCGUAGGGACCUGUCGAGGGGUGGGGGAUAACCGCGGGAAACUGCGGCUAAUACCGCAUGACGCCGCGGCGUGACAGCCGGGGCCAAAGGCGAAAGCCGCCCGCCGAGGGGCCUGCGUCCGAUUAGCUGGUUGGCGGGGUAGCGGCCCACCAAGGCGUCGAUCGGUAGCUGGUCUGAGAGGGUGAUCAGCCACACCGGGACUGAGACACGGCCCGGACUCCUACGGGAGGCAGCAGUGGGGAUUAUUGGACAAUGGGCGCAAGCCUGAUCCAGCAAUGCCGCGUGGGUGAAGAAGGUCUUCGGAUUGUAAAGCCCUUUCGGCGGGGACGAUGGUGACGGUACCCGCAGAAGAAGCCCCGGCUAACUUCGUG
rnacentral:rRNA from 1 species